rnacentral:rRNA from 1 species
UCGAACGGAAAGGCCUCUUCGGAGGURCUCGAGUGGCGAACGGGUGAGUAACACGUGGGUGAUCUGCCCUGCACUUCGGGAUAAGCYUGGGAAACUGGGUCUAAUACCGRAUAUGACCUUKANACUGCAUGUSUCKUGGUGGAAAGCUUUUGCGGUGUGGGAUGGGCCCGCGGCCUAUCAGCUUGUUGGUGGGGUGAUGGCCUACCAAGGCGACNACGGGUAGCCGGCCUGAGAGGGUGUCCGGCCACACUGGGACUGAAAUACGGCCCAAACUCCUACGGGAGGCAGCAGUGGGGAAUAUUGCACAAUGGGCGCAAGCCUGAUGCAGCGACGCCGCGUGGGGGAUGACGGCCUUCGGGUUGUAAACCUCUUUCACCAUCGACGAAGGYYCGGGUUUUCUCGGAUUGACGGUAGGUGGAGAAAAAGCACCSSCCAACUACAUGCCA